AUUAGGAAUCUUGCACAAUGGGCGAAAGCCUGAUGCAGCGACGUCGCGUGGAGGAUGAAAUCUUUCGGGAUGUAAACUCCUUUUAUCGGGGAAGAAGAAUGUGACGGUACCCGAUGAAUAAGCCCCGGCUAACUACGUGCCAGCAGCCGCGGUAAUACGUAGGGGGCCAGCGUUGUCCGAAGUUACUGGGCGUAAAGAGCGCGUAGGCGGAUCUUUAAGUGAGGGGUGAAAGGUUCGGGCUCAACCCGGACACUGCCUUUCAUACUGGGGAUCUUGAGUGCGGGAGGGGCGAGUGGAAUGGUCGGUGUAGCGGUGAAAUGCGUAGAUAUCGAUCGGAACACCCAUGGCGAAGGCAGCUCGCUGGUCCGCAACUGACGCUGAGGCGCGAAAGCUGGGGGAGCAAACAG
rnacentral:rRNA from 1 species